UCAUCAUAUGUCACAGAAGAUGUUAGGGUCAUCCUACCAUUUUCCAAAGUGGUGGUACCCCUUGCUUUCUCCCCAGCAGAGUAAGGCAGUUCUGGUUUCCAGUGUCUGGGCUAAUUCCUGCUGUGCUCAUUCUAAUUGCAGCUUUUUGCCUGAGGUUUGGUGCCUUCUGUUGAGGAGAGUUUUCAUUUUCAGUGAAAGGUCUUCGCCUCUUGUCUGGUGACGAUGAAUUUUGUUCAGCCUUCCCAGCUCUCCAGCAGACAUCAGGAGCUCUUCCUUCCAGGAUCAGAAUCUGCCACAGAUGAGAAGAAAUGUUUCUCUCCAGCUGUAAUUCAAGACCUUGGAAUUGCUUUUGGUUUGGACACAUCCAGGUCAUCAGCUCCUCUUGAGUUUUCAUCUUCCUCCAAACCUAGGAUGAGACUUGUUAAGAGUGUCACGUUUCACUGCGGCUCGUGCAGAACUGCUCCCAGCAGGCCCCUCAUCUCCCUCUGCAGAAAGCCUUUCUUUGAAUGACCGUACAAUUCCGCCUAAAAGCUCGAGAACUGUGAAUACUUGAACUAUUGCAGCGUGAUCCAGCAUCUCCCACUGAUAGCCAGGGACAGUGAGACUUGAGCUCAUACUGUCAGGGGCUUGUGGCAGGAAAUGCUCCAGCGUCUCCUGGGCUUGGCAAAGGCACACAUCCCCAGCAGGACGAAGCUCCCCCACGGUGGCCCGGUCUGACACAGAGGUGCCCAGGGCCACCACGGCCAGCUGGACCACACCACCCCAUGGAGAAGUCUGCUCUGGGUUCCAUCCGGAACCAAACCUGCACCAGGCCACCGGGGCAGGCCGUGCCUUCUGAGGGUCAGGCAGGUAGUCCCAAAGCGAUGAAGAGCUCGACUCUGCCCUGGGCUCUUCCUUUCCUCACUUAAGCUUCUCCUUACGUGGCCCACAGAGGCCUAUUGAAUCCAUUAUGCACAAUGUUCUCUCAGUCCAGAAAGCCCCUCUUUCCACUGCCCACAAAUGGGGCACACACCCGUCUUGGAACCACUCUUUUCUCCCCCUCAAGUGGCCCCAGUGCAUGAAACAGGGCCUGGCCAUGAUCUUUCAUGCCUGUGCGUGUUUGUGGAAGUGAUCUUUGAGGGCACAUUUGAAUGAAGGAAGGACAAAGCUAUUCUUAAUUAUGUCACACUUAGUGCUCUGCUGAGCAGCAGAUAAUCCAUUAGGUGGUUUAAUUCUUGUGGAUGUAGACUAGCAGAGUACUGUUAUUACAAAGGCUGAACGAAUUUUUAAUAUCGGACAACCAUGGCACGUUCCUCAGAAUUCACCAUUUUAAACUACAAAGAGAUCCUCAAAUUGCUUUGAAAGACAAAAUACUGCACUGGGGAUCAUCUUCUACAAUCCCCCUUUUUAAAAAAAAUUAGAAAGAAGUAACAAAAUCUGAAGUAAAAGCAACGACUGCCUGGGAAAUUCAGAGAUGUAAAUAGCCUGUAGAUCCAGUGAGCCACCAAAUAAAAUUCUGCACAAGAUGUGGAAAGUACAAACAAUGAACACGCUAACCAUUACGGUCUGUAGGACAAAGCCAAUUCUAUUCAAGGAGGAAAAUCCACAUUAUUUAACACUGAAGAACUCAAACAAGGAAGGAGAAUGAGAAAGCGAAUCGAACAGCUGAAGCGUUUCUAACAACGUUAGAUAUUCACCAGGAAACAUAGAUGAAUCAGAGUGAGAGGCACAGGAAAGGCUAGCCCUGAACGUCUCAGAGCUCUGAAAAUCAGAAGACGGAUGCACAACUCCAAGAGCUUGUCACAGGGAAAGUAUGUUUCCUUUCCUUACUGUAGUUUUAAACACUGAAUGUGGAAGUACGGAAUUGAAAACUAGGAAGAGCUGAAAACCCAAAGACAGAGAAAGCAAGUCUUAAGUCUUCCCUCAGAACCGUGCAGGACGUGGGCAGACCAGGAAGUGGCGGCUCCCGGGCCACAGACCCUCGUUCCCCACUCUCACUGCCACCUGUCGCCAGCCCCCCUGCCACCCCAGGUGAACAGCACAUCGCCCGGGACUUGGCCACACAUGUGGCCCGUCCCAGAGAGGGGAGUCAGACAUUGCCACUGAGGCCACUCAGGUGGGCUGGAGUUGGGAGGGGACUCCAGGUGGUACAGGGUGAGGUGGUCAGACGGGGCAGCACCCAGAUGGGUUUUCUCAACCGAGGGCUCAGGGAUGGUGUGUUCGGCCUUGUUUACAUUAUUUGGUAUCCAGAAAAACUUGAUAAAUGUGAUGAUAAAAGGGUAGAAUGACGGCUUCUGGAUUCCCUUUCAAGGAAAACUGUUAUCAGCAAUGAGGCAAGCAUAGACCUUCCUUCUGGGAGGUAGCUGGUAGUGUCUGUGUAAUGGAUGAAUAAACGAGAGAAUGAGCGACGCAGGCAUGAGGCCAUUUUUGGCCAAUCCAUGGUGAUGCACAGUGAACUCUGUGGACUCUGCAAGUCGUUCCCAUAAGUGAAGCUUAAAAUCAUGGUGGAAAAGCCACAUGCUUCCAGAAAUUUUCAGGAGACAAGUGAGGCAACUCCACUUACUCUGUUCAUGAGAGCAGCGAGCCCCAUGUGCAGACGUGGGAGUGGAAGCUCAGAGAGAGGAGAGGCAUUGCCCCCUAAACCACUGAGGCUCGCAGGACACAUCAGGAUGGGCUGACCCCACCAAUCUGGGGGGCGUCCCUCUCUGCCACAUCCUCCAGCCCCUGAUCCCCAGAGGCCAAAUAAGAUGUUAUGGCCAAAAAAGAUUUUACCCUUUUCCAAAGUCAGGGUACCUAUCUGCUUUAUCCCCGGCAGAGUACGACAGCCCCGUUUCCUCAUGUCUGUGCUGGUCCCUGUUGUGUCCAGCUGUGUCAACUGUAGCCUUUGUCCCAGAGGUGUGGGUCCUAGAUCAUGGUGGUCUUCCUUGGUGUUUCCCCAAUGAACCAUGAGGCCGACCACUUUGUCGCGUGUUUAUCGACACCUGUAAUCCUUCCUCAGUGCGUGUUCAAGUCUUUAGCCCAUUUUUGUUAUUUCUCUGCAUGUUUAUUGGAGAGUUGUAAGAAUUUUUAUAUAUACUAGCGAAAACUCUUUUCUCAGGUAAAUUUUACAAAUAUAUUCUAACAAUUUGUGGCUUAUCUCCUCAUUUCUUACUGCUGCCUUUGGGUGAGCAGAGUUUUCACUCUUGAGGACAAGUCAUCUAUCCAUUUAUCCACUUUUUCCCUUUUUUCUUUAUGGAUUUAUUAUACUUGGGACAUUUUUGCCAACUCCAAAUUCAUGAAGGUACUCUCCUGUUUCCUUAUAAAACCUCAUUGACUUAGCUUUUAUAUUUUGGUCUUAUAUCAAUCUUAAUUUUUGGUGAUAAUGUGUGACAGAGUCCAAUAUGGAUUAUCUCUCUUCAUAUAUACCCAGCAUUUUCAGCAAUAUUUGCUCAAGAUCUUUUUUCAUUUCCCAUUUCCAUAUGUGGAACUUCAAAUAAUCAUUCUGUGUAUAAUGGUACUUAUAUUCCCUUACAAU